rnacentral:lncRNA from 1 species
GCUUUUUAAGUUAAAAAAAACAAACAACUUAAUCCUUAUUUUCCGAGAUUCAAACGAAAAAACAAACAUAUUAUUCAGAUUCAGACAUUCAGACCUAUUCAGAAUUCAGACUAAUUCACGUCUAUUCAGAUUUCAGACAAAAAAAUAACCGCCACCUUAGCCCCUUCUUAAUACCAUGCAAAUCUCGAGAUAAGCCCAACCUCCUUUAGUUAGCAAACCCAACACAUUCCAUUCAUGCACAAUCAAUAUGCCAUACUGGCUUGACUCGGAGAAAUACACCCCCCAAACCCGAAAGGUACCAAAAAAUAUUAAAAUACGAAAAUAAACCCAAUGUUUAAUGAUUUGUCAACAAAAAGAAAAACAAGUUCGUUUGAUCUUUUUCUCGACAAAACCAUAUUAAGCCUGCGCCCUCAUCGUGAAUUGAUGUGAAAUGAAUGGUUAAUUAUUAGUUCCUGGUAUAAACUUAUCAUCAUUACAAAUUUCUUUUUGCUCUCGCUGCACUGUUCCAAUUCUAUUGUGCUAUAUUUUAUAUAUCCUCCAAUGAACAACAAAUCUAAAUUUCAAAAUGCAUUUAUUCUUUAAAAUCUACCUUAUUAUCUCUUCUCUGGCAUUUUGCAUGUGCAUUAAUUCAAGUUGAUGCCUUGGUGUAAAGCCCUUUUCUUUUCAUUUGAUUCAUGUGUUUCAAUUAAUUUUUUAAAAAUAGGCCUCCAUGUUCCCUUCUUCACUUUUAUCAACUUAUGAAUUCUCUAGUUUUAUGGUUAGCAUCCCUUUCGUGGGCAUCUGGCUUUGUACAUCAAUGGAUCCAUCAGAUAUUCAGAUUGUUGUUUUGCAUGUAGCCUUCUAAUUCUUUUAUCUAUUUUCUAACAGUGGAUUUUCAUUUUUUUUCUUUUCUAAUAUUUUGGUAAAAUGUAUUAUUAUGGAACUUGAAAAGAAUUUAGACAUGAUUAGUUCUAUAAUAUUACU